UACGGAGGGAGCUAGCGUUGUUCGUAAUUACUGGGCGUAAAGCGCACGUAGUCGGCUUUGUAAGUUAGAGGUGAAAGCCCGGGGCUCAACUCCGGAACUGCCUUUAAGACUGCAUCGCUUGAAUCCAGGAGAGGUGAGUGGAAUUCCGAGUGUAGAGGUGAAAUUCGUAGAUAUGCGGAAGAACACCAGUGGCGAAGGCGGCUCACUGG
rnacentral:rRNA from 1 species